rnacentral:rRNA from 1 species
UACGUAGGUGGCAAGCGUUGUCCGGAUUUAUUGGGCGUAAAGCGCGCGCAGGCGGUUUCUUAAGUCUGAUGUGAAAGCCCUCGGCUUAACCGAGGAGGGUCAUUGGAAACUGGGAGACUUGAGUGCAGAAGAGGAAAGUGGAAUUCCAAGUGUAGCGGUGAAAUGCGUAGAGAUUUGGAGGAACGCCAGUGGCGAAGGCGACUUUCUGGUCUGUAACUGACGCUGAGGCGCGAAAGCGUGGGGAGCGAACAGG